rnacentral:rRNA from 1 species
UAGGCUGCAACUCGCCUACAUGAAGUCGGAAUCGCUAGUAAUCGCGGAUCAGCACGCCGCGGUGAAUACGUUCCCGGGCCUUGUACACACCGCCCGUCACACCACGAGAGUUGUAACACCCGAAGUCGGUGAGGUAACCUAUUAGGAGCCAGCCGCCUAAGGUGGGAUAGAUGAUUGGGGUGAAGUCGUAACAAGGUAAC